UGCCCAGCUGCACUCCGCAGACACCCACCCAGCCCAAGGUAUCCCACCAAGGAGACCUGAUCUUGAGCCUGGAGCCCCGAACCGAUGCUUGAGUGAGUUGAGCA
rnacentral:lncRNA from 13 species